UGGACGUUACUCGCAGAAUAAGCACCGGCUAACUCUGUGCCAGCAGCCGCGGUAAUACAGAGGGUGCAAGCGUUAAUCGGAUUUACUGGGCGUAAAGCGCGCGUAGGUGGCCAAUUAAGUCAAAUGUGAAAUCCCCGAGCUUAACUUAGGGAAUUGCAUUCGAUACUGGUUGGCUAGAGUAUGGGAGAGGAUGGUAGAAUUCCAGGUGUAGCGGUGAAAUGCGUAGAGAUCUGGAGGAAUACCGAUGGCGAAGGCAGCCAUCUGGCCUAAUACUGACACUGAGGUGCGAAAGCAUGGGGAGCAAACAGGAUUAGAUACCCUGGUAGUCCAUGCCGUAAACGAUGUCUACUAGCCGUUGGGGCCUUUGAGGCUUUAGUGGCGCAGCUAACGCGAUAAGUAGACCGG
rnacentral:rRNA from 1 species